CCUACGGGAGGCAGCAGUGGGGAAUAUUGCGCAAUGGGCGAAAGCCUGACGCAGCGACGCCGCGUGAGGGAUGAAGGUCUUCGGAUCGUAAACCUCUGUCAGCAGGGAAGAACAGUCACUGUGCUAAUCAGCAGUGAAUUGACGGUACCUGCAAAGGAAGCACCGGCUAACUCCGUGCCAGCAGCCGCGGUAAUACGGAGGGUGCGAGCGUUAAUCGGAAUUACUGGGCGUAAAGCGCUCGUAGGCGGUAUGUCAAGUCAAGGGUGAAAUCCCCGCGCUCAACGUGGGAACUGCCUUUGAAACUGGCAAACUGGAGUGUGUGAGAGGAGAGUGGAAUUCCAGGUGUAGGAGUGAAAUCCGUAGAUAUCUGGAGGAACAUCAGUGGCGAAGGCGACUAUCUGGAACAUAACUGACGCUGAGGAGCGAAAGCGUGGGUAGCAAACAGGAUUAGAUACCCCUGUAGUC
rnacentral:rRNA from 1 species